GUGAGGAAUAUUGCGCAAUGGAGGCAACUCUGACGCAGCCAUGCCGCGUGCAGGAAGAAGGCGCUACGCGUUGUAAACUGCUUUUAACCGGGAAGAAACCCCAGGACGUGUCCUGGGUUGACGGUACCGGAGGAAUAAGCACCGGCUAACUUCGUGCCAGCAGCCGCGGUAAUACGAAGGGUGCAAGCGUUAUCCGGAUUCAUUGGGUUUAAAGGGUGCGUAGGCGGAGCGUUAAGUCAGUGGUGAAAUCCUGCAGCUUAACUGUAGACUUGCCAUUGAUACUGGCGCUCUUGAGUGCGCUUGAAGUGGGCGGAAUGUGACGUGUAGCGGUGAAAUGAUUAGAUAUGGCACAGAAAACCAAUUGCGAAGGCAGCUCACUAAGGCGAUACUGACGCUGAGGCACGAAAGCGUGGGGAUCGAACAGGAUUAGAAACCCCAGUAGUCC
rnacentral:rRNA from 1 species